rnacentral:rRNA from 2 species
GGUUAAGCGACUAAGCGUACACGGUGGAUGCCCUGGCAGUCAGAGGCGAUGAAGGACGUGCUAAUCUGCGAUAAGCGUCGGUAAGGUGAUAUGAACCGUUAUAACCGGCGAUUUCCGAAUGGGGAAACCCAGUGUGUUUCGACACACUAUCAUUAACUGAAUCCAUAGGUUAAUGAGGCGAACCGGGGGAACUGAAACAUCUAAGUACCCCGAGGAAAAGAAAUCAACCGAGAUUCCCCCAGUAGCGGCGAGCGAACGGGGAGCAGCCCAGAGCCUGAAUCAGUGUGUGUGUUAGUGGAAGCGUCUGGAAAGGCGCGCGAUACAGGGUGACAGCCCCGUACACAAAAAUGCACAUAUUGUGAGCUCGAUGAGUAGGGCGGGACACGUGGUAUCCUGUCUGAAUAUGGGGGGACCAUCCUCCAAGGCUAAAUACUCCUGACUGACCGAUAGUGAACCAGUACCGUGAGGGAAAGGCGAAAAGAACCCCGGCGAGGGGAGUGAAAAAGAACCUGAAACCGUGUACGUACAAGCAGUGGGAGCACAGAGCAAUCUGUGUGACUGCGUACCUUUUGUAUAAUGGGUCAGCGACUUAUAUUCUGUAGCAAGGUUAACCGAAUAGGGGAGCCGAAGGGAAACCGAGUCUUAACUGGGCGUUAAGUUGCAGGGUAUAGACCCGAAACCCGGUGAUCUAGCCAUGGGCAGGUUGAAGGUUGGGUAACACUAACUGGAGGACCGAACCGACUAAUGUUGAAAAAUUAGCGGAUGACUUGUGGCUGGGGGUGAAAGGCCAAUCAAACCGGGAGAUAGCUGGUUCUCCCCGAAAGCUAUUUAGGUAGCGCCUCGUGAAUUCAUCUCCGGGGGUAGAGCACUGUUUCGGCAAGGGGGUCAUCCCGACUUACCAACCCGAUGCAAACUGCGAAUACCGGAGAAUGUUAUCACGGGAGACACACGGCGGGUGCUAACGUCCGUCGUGAAGAGGGAAACAACCCAGACCGCCAGCUAAGGUCCCAAAGUCAUGGUUAAGUGGGAAACGAUGUGGGAAGGCCCAGACAGCCAGGAUGUUGGCUUAGAAGCAGCCAUCAUUUAAAGAAAGCGUAAUAGCUCACUGGUCGAGUCGGCCUGCGCGGAAGAUGUAACGGGGCUAAACCAUGCACCGAAGCUGCGGCAGCGACGCUUAUGCGUUGUUGGGUAGGGGAGCGUUCUGUAAGCCUGUGAAGGUGUGCUGUGAGGCAUGCUGGAGGUAUCAGAAGUGCGAAUGCUGACAUAAGUAACGAUAAAGCGGGUGAAAAGCCCGCUCGCCGGAAGACCAAGGGUUCCUGUCCAACGUUAAUCGGGGCAGGGUGAGUCGACCCCUAAGGCGAGGCCGAAAGGCGUAGUCGAUGGGAAACAGGUUAAUAUUCCUGUACUUGGUGUUACUGCGAAGGGGGGACGGAGAAGGCUAUGUUGGCCGGGCGACGGUUGUCCCGGUUUAAGCGUGUAGGCUGGUUUUCCAGGCAAAUCCGGAAAAUCAAGGCUGAGGCGUGAUGACGAGGCACUACGGUGCUGAAGCAACAAAUGCCCUGCUUCCAGGAAAAGCCUCUAAGCAUCAGGUAACAUCAAAUCGUACCCCAAACCGACACAGGUGGUCAGGUAGAGAAUACCAAGGCGCUUGAGAGAACUCGGGUGAAGGAACUAGGCAAAAUGGUGCCGUAACUUCGGGAGAAGGCACGCUGAUAUGUAGGUGAAGUCCCUCGCGGAUGGAGCUGAAAUCAGUCGAAGAUACCAGCUGGCUGCAACUGUUUAUUAAAAACACAGCACUGUGCAAACACGAAAGUGGACGUAUACGGUGUGACGCCUGCCCGGUGCCGGAAGGUUAAUUGAUGGGGUUAGCGGUAACGCGAAGCUCUUGAUCGAAGCCCCGGUAAACGGCGGCCGUAACUAUAACGGUCCUAAGGUAGCGAAAUUCCUUGUCGGGUAAGUUCCGACCUGCACGAAUGGCGUAAUGAUGGCCAGGCUGUCUCCACCCGAGACUCAGUGAAAUUGAACUCGCUGUGAAGAUGCAGUGUACCCGCGGCAAGACGGAAAGACCCCGUGAACCUUUACUAUAGCUUGACACUGAACAUUGAGCCUUGAUGUGUAGGAUAGGUGGGAGGCUUUGAAGUGUGGACGCCAGUCUGCAUGGAGCCGGCCUUGAAAUACCACCCUUUAAUGUUUGAUGUUCUAACGUUGGCCCCUGAUCGGGGUUGCGGACAGUGUCUGGUGGGUAGUUUGACUGGGGCGGUCUCCUCCUAAAGAGUAACGGAGGAGCACGAAGGUUGGCUAAUCCUGGUCGGACAUCAGGAGGUUAGUGCAAUGGCAUAAGCCAGCUUGACUGCGAGCGUGACGGCGCGAGCAGGUGCGAAAGCAGGUCAUAGUGAUCCGGUGGUUCUGAAUGGAAGGGCCAUCGCUCAACGGAUAAAAGGUACUCCGGGGAUAACAGGCUGAUACCGCCCAAGAGUUCAUAUCGACGGCGGUGUUUGGCACCUCGAUGUCGGCUCAUCACAUCCUGGGGCUGAAGUAGGUCCCAAGGGUAUGGCUGUUCGCCAUUUAAAGUGGUACGCGAGCUGGGUUUAGAACGUCGUGAGACAGUUCGGUCCCUAUCUGCCGUGGGCGCUGGAGAACUGAGGGGGGCUGCUCCUAGUACGAGAGGACCGGAGUGGACGCAUCACUGGUGUUCGGGUUGUCAUGCCAAUGGCACUGCCCGGUAGCUAAAUGCGGAAGAGAUAAGUGCUGAAAGCAUCUAAGCACGAAACUUGCCCCGAGAUGAGUUCUCCCUGACUCCUUGAGAGUCCUGAAGGAACGUUGAAGACGACGACGUUGAUAGGCCGGGUGUGUAAGCGCAGCGAUGCGUUGAGCUAACCGGUACUAAUGAACCGUGAGGCUUAACCUU